GACGAACGCUGGCGGCGUGCUUAACACAUGCAAGUCGAACGGAAAGGCCUGCUUUCCCUUGUGGAUUGCGGGUACUCGAGUGGCGAACGGGUGAGUAACACGUGAGUGAUCUGCCCCCAACUUGGGUAUAAGCCUGGGAAACUGGGUCUAAUUCCCGAUAGGACUGCAGGGUGGUGCCUGUGGUGGAAAACGAUUUUCUAGUGGUUGGGGAUGAGCUCGCGGCCUAUCAGCUUGUUGGUGGGGUAAUGGCCUACCAAGGCGGCGACGGGUAGCCGGCCUGAGAGGGUGGACGGCCACAUUGGGACUGAGAUACGGCCCAGACUCCUACGGGAGGCAGCAGUGGGGAAUAUUGCAUAAUGGGCGGAAGCCUGAGGCAGCGACGCCGCGUGGGGGAUGACGGCCUUCGGGUUGUAAACUCCUUUCGACCGCGAGGAAGCCACCUGGUUGGAAGGGUGGUGACGGUAGUGGUAGAAGAAGCACCGGCUAACUACGUG
rnacentral:rRNA from 1 species